rnacentral:rRNA from 1 species
CGUGUAGGCGGUGCGGUAAGUUGGGCGUGAAAUCCCGAGCUUAACUCGGGUGGGCCGUUCAAGACUGCCGUGCUAGGGUGCGGGAGAGGGCAGUGGAAUUUCCGGUGUAGCGGUGAAAUGCGUAGAUAUCGGGAGGAACACCUGCGGCGAAGGCGGCUGCCUGGACCGUAACCGACGCUGAGGCGCGAAAGCUAGGGGAGCAAACAGGAUUAGAUACCCUGGUAGUCCUAGCCCUAAACGAUGAGCACUGGGUGUGGCCCCUCACGGGGCCGUGCCGAAGCUAACGCAUUAAGUGCUUCGCCUGGGGAGUACGGUCGCAAGGCUGAA